CUAUCGUUAACUGAAUACAUAGGUUAACGAGGCGAACCGGGGGAACUGAAACAUCUAAGUACCCCGAGGAAAAGAAAUCAACCGAGAUUCCCCCAGUAGCGGCGAGCGAACGGGGAGCAGCCCAGAGUCUGAAUCAGCUUGUGUGUUAGUGGAACGGUCUGGAAAGUCCGACGGUACAGGGUGAUAGUCCCGUACACCAAAAUGCACAGGUUGUGAACUCGAAGAGUAGGGCGGGACACGUGGUAUCCUGUCUGAAUAUGGGGGGACCAUCCUCCAAGGCUAAAUACUCCUGACUGACCGAUAGUGAACCAGUACCGUGAGGGAAAGGCGAAAAGAACCCCGGCGAGGGGAGUGAAAAAGAACCUGAAACCGUGUACGUACAAGCAGUGGGAGCACCUUCGGGUGUGACUGCGUACCUUUUGUAUAAUGGGUCAGCGACUUAUAUUCUGUAGCAAGGUUAACCGUAUAGGGGAGCCGCAGGGAAACCGAGUCUUAACUGGGCGUUAAGUUGCAGGGUAUAGACCCGAAACCCGGUGAUCUAGCCAUGGGCAGGUUGAAGGUUGGGUAACACUAACUGGAGGACCGAACCGACUAAUGUUGAAAAAUUAGCGGAUGACUUGUGGCUGGGGGUGAAAGGCCAAUCAAACCGGGAGAUAGCUGGUUCUCCCCGAAAGCUAUUUAGGUAGCGCCUCGUGAACUCAUCUUCGGGGGUAGAGCACUGUUUCGGCUAGGGGGUCAUCCCGACUUACCAACCCGAUGCAAACUACGAAUACCGAAGAAUGUUAUCACGGGAGACACACGGCGGGUGCUAACGUCCGUCGUGAAGAGGGAAACAACCCAGACCGCCAGCUAAGGUCCCAAAGUCAUGGUUAAGUGGGAAACGAUGUGGGAAGGCACAGACAGCCAGGAUGUUGGCUUAGAAGCAGCCAUCAUUUAAAGAAAGCGUAAUAGCUCACUGGUCGAGUCGGCCUGCGCGGAAGAUGUAACGGGGCUAAACCAUGCACCGAAGCUGCGGCAGCGACACUAUGUGUUGUUGGGUAGGGGAGCGUUCUGUAAGCCUGCGAAGGUGUGCUGUGAGGCAUGCUGGAGGUAUCAGAAGUGCGAAUGCUGACAUAAGUAACGAUAAAGCGGGUGAAAAGCCCGCUCGCCGGAAGACCAAGGGUUCCUGUCCAACGUUAAUCGGGGCAGGGUGAGUCGACCCCUAAGGCGAGGCCGAAAGGCGUAGUCGAUGGGAAACAGGUUAAUAUUCCUGUACUUGGUGUUACUGCGAAGGGGGGACGGAGAAGGCUAUGUUAGCCGGGCGACGGUUGUCCCGGUUUAAGCAUGUAGGCUGGUUAUCCAGGCAAAUCCGGAUAAUCAAGGCUGAGGUGUGAUGACGAGGCACUACGGUGCUGAAGUAACAAAUGCCCUGCUUCCAGGAAAAGCCUCUAAGCAUCAGGUAACAUCAAAUCGUACCCCAAACCGACACAGGUGGUCAGGUAGAGAAUACCAAGGCGCUUGAGAGAACUCGGGUGAAGGAACUAGGCAAAAUGGUGCCGUAACUUCGGGAGAAGGCACGCUGGUGUGUAGGUGAAGUCCCUGCGGAUGGAGCUGAGACCAGUCGAAGAUACCAGCUGGCUGCAACUGUUUAUUAAAAACACAGCACUGUGCAAACACGAAAGUGGACGUAUACGGUGUGACGCCUGCCCGGUGCCGGAAGGUUAAUUGAUGGGGUUAUCCGUAAGGAGAAGCUCUUGAUCGAAGCCCCGGUAAACGGCGGCCGUAACUAUAACGGUCCUAAGGUAGCGAAAUUCCUUGUCGGGUAAGUUCCGACCUGCACGAAUGGCGUAAUGAUGGCCAGGCUGUCUCCACCCGAGACUCAGUGAAAUUGAACUCGCUGUGAAGAUGCAGUGUACCCGCGGCAAGACGGAAAGACCCCGUGAACCUUUACUAUAGCUUGACACUGAACAUUGAGCCUUGAUGUGUAGGAUAGGUGGGAGGCUUUGAAGCGUGGACGCCAGUCUGCGUGGAGCCAACCUUGAAAUACCACCCUUUAAUGUUUGAUGUUCUAACGUUGGCCCCUGACCGGGGUUGCGGACAGUGUCUGGUGGGUAGUUUGACUGGGGCGGUCUCCUCCCAAAGCGUAACGGAGGAGCACGAAGGUUAGCUAAUCCUGGUCGGACAUCAGGAGGUUAGUGCAAUGGCAUAAGCUAGCUUGACUGCGAGCGUGACGGCGCGAGCAGGUGCGAAAGCAGGUCAUAGUGAUCCGGUGGUUCUGAAUGGAAGGGCCAUCGCUCAACGGAUAAAAGGUACUCCGGGGAUAACAGGCUGAUACCGCCCAAGAGUUCAUAUCGACGGCGGUGUUUGGCACCUCGAUGUCGGCUCAUCACAUCCUGGGGCUGAAGUAGGUCCCAAGGGUAUGGCUGUUCGCCAUUUAAAGUGGUACGCGAGCUGGGUUUAGAACGUCGUGAGACAGUUCGGUCCCUAUCUGCCGUGGGCGCUGGAGAAUUGAGGGGGGCUGCUCCUAGUACGAGAGGACCGGAGUGGACGCAUCACUGGUGUUCGGGUUGUCAUGCCAAUGGCACUGCCCGGUAGCUAAAUGCGGAAGAGAUAAGUGCUGAAAGCAUCUAAGCACGAAACUUGCCCCGAGAUGAGUUCUCCCUGAGACUUUAAGUCUCCUGAAGGAACGUUGAAGACGACGACGUUGAUAGGCCGGGUGUGUAAGCGCAGCGAUGCGUUGAGCUAACCGGUACUAAUGAACCGUGAGGCUUAACCUU
rnacentral:rRNA from 1 species